UUCCAAUGAAAAAAAUGUGAAAAAGAAAAUAUCAACAAAAGGAAAGAUAUGCAAGAAUUGCAUUUGAAAGAAUCAAUCCAAGGCGAUGGAAUGGUUAUUUAUAGCUGGCGCUGGUAUCCUUCACACUUCUCAGUUAUCACGUUGCAGAUACCAUUUUUGAAUUGCUAGGAAAAUUUAGUCAACAAUAUCAAGAGCUACGAUGAAGUCAACUUGAGCAGCUGAAGCCAACUUCAUAGACUCCAUCUAAUAAGACACAGAGAACAAGAACGUACUGCAAGGUUUUCGAUGUUGUGAUAGUUGAAUGGAAGCCUUCUAAACUCAAGACUCAGUUAUAGUGCAAGCAACUGAAGGAUCCAAACUAAACAUAAAAGAAAACUUGGAAGAGAAGUUGAAGAUUUGAAGACUUUCACUAAGCGCGUCAUACACGCUCAGUGCAACGCAGUCGCUCAGCGAGUAGCACUCGCUCAGCGCAAAGAAGUCAAAUGCGCUUAGCGCAAGUCGUACACUAAGCGCAUGACCACCGCCUCACUUGCUCCAUGCAGCAGUUGCGCUUAGUGCGAUGUUGCAUAAAAAUUAAGUUAAAUUAUGCCUAUAAAAGGAGGAGAAGACAAAGGAAAAAAGACAUAUGGCUACACACUGAAGAUCCAUAAGAUUAGAGCUUCUUAUAGAGAGCAAAGGCUAGAAUUUGUGUAUGAAUACGGGGAAUCAACCAUUAGGAGUUAUUUCUCCCCCAUAUAUUGAUUCUUCUUCUCUUCCCAUCAACUCCUUGCAAUUGUAAAGUCUCUCGUGACAAUGGAGAUUAAAACCCUCAAUGUUGAGAGUCUAACAACCAAAUGUUGGUGAUGUAAUUUAUUUCCUAUUAUCUAUUUAAUGUUAUUUUAAUUAUUAUUGUCUC